rnacentral:lncRNA from 1 species
AUAGCAGCAACCUCGGGCUUGGGAGCAAAAGGCCCUGGAAAUUUCUGACUUUUGGAAGAGCUGGCAGAAGGCCAGAAAGGCUUAGGCAAUGGCACAGUUUAAUGGGGUCUAGAGGAGGCCGGAGACAUGACACGAGAUUGUUAGAGAUGAUUAUUAGGCCUCCGAGAACAAUUUAUAAAACUAAAUACACAGCCUUAAAACAGAAUGUGAGCCUAUGUACCGAGAAGCACUCCGUCUAUGAAAUUUGUAACAAGUCGUGAGCAGUGUGAAGAGUUCAAAUGGAGUAGUGGAUCCAGAGCCACUGUAGUGCUGGCAAAGUGCAAGGAUUCCCACAGCAUCAAAAUCGUCCUGCAGGAGCUUGAAAAUGUCAAAAGAGAAUCUACGGCAGCCACCAGGAAACAGUUAGGCCAAU